rnacentral:rRNA from 1 species
AGCGAACGUUUGCGGCGGGCUUAACACAUGCAAGUCGAACGGGCUGUUCCUUCGGGGGCAGUCAGUGGCGCACGGGUGCGUAACACGUAGGUAAUCAACCCUCUGGUUGGGGAUAACACUUCGAAAGGAGUGCUAAUACCCGGUAUGGCGCAGCGGUCUUCGGAUCGCGGCGAGAAAGACCCGCAAGGGUUGCCAGAGGACGAGCCUGCGGCCCAUCAGCUAGUUGGCGAGGUAACGGCUCACCAAGGCGAAGACGGGUAGCUGGUCUGAGAGGAUGAUCAGCCACACUGGAACUGAGACACGGUCUAGACUCCUACGGGAGGCAGCAGUGGGGAAUAUUGCGCAAUGGGCGAAAGCCUGACGCAGCCACGCCGCGUGAGCGAUGAAGGCCU